CCACACAGAACAGGUUUACCUCAACAUAUGAAGGCCUCUAUUCAACUGAAGGGGAGCCUAGGGACCUUGAAAGUGUGGGCAGAGCCUGAGAGAAUGGAAAAAUUGACCUGUCACUGUUGAAUUCUCAGAACCUAACUAUAAAUACCAUCAGGGCUUAUUUGGGAGAAGAAUAAUUUGCUGCAGCUCCAAAGUUCUUCAAGGCAACUCUCUUCCAUGAGAUAGACCAGGCUCUAAUCUACUUCUCCAAUAUGGCUUCCAGUUACCAGAACAAAGGAGGAGAAAGCCACAAGGCAAACGUUAUUGAAAAUCGAGUGGGGUGGUUAAACAUUACCUCGUACCAAGUCAAGAUUGUGGAAUUCUUGUUUCAGUUCUGUGACCACCCUCCAAUGACUUGUAUCAUCCAGAUAGAUUCGGAUGUGAGUGCAUGCAAUAAAAUUUUAAUUCCAU